AUGGGUUUGCCUCUAUUUUGGCAGUGUGAGCCGUGUGCCUGCUCAGACUUCCUGUCCUGGUUUGAUCAAGCGGAAUAUCAGAGCCAUAUCUGUGACUCAUACACAACGAUGAAUGGACUCAAUAUCUCUCCUUCAGGAUUAGUCCUUUACAAAAAAUACAUUGGCCGUAUCAGCUACUAUUACUGGAAGCGUGACUCCUGACGCUAUCAUGUUGUGCUAGCAUUCAAUUUUUUUCGGCUGACAGUGCAAUUUUUUGAGGAAGAGAAAAUACCAACAGGUCUGGAAUUUGUAAAACACAGAAAGUCUCCAUUCCCUUUAGUCUAUCUGGCCCAUUAAAUAUCAGUUUCUUAGAAAACUUAAGUCGUAAUUAAAAUGUUACUAUCCAUAA
rnacentral:lncRNA from 1 species